rnacentral:rRNA from 1 species
CCUACGUGGUGCAGCAGUGGGGAAUAUUGGACAAUGGGCGAAAGCCUGAUCCAGCCAUGCCGCGUGUGUGAAGAAGGCCUUCGGGUUGUAAAGCACUUUCAGUGGGGAAGAAAGCCUUGGGGCUAAUACCCUCGAGGAAGGACAUCACCCACAGAAGAAGCACCGGCUAACUCCGUGCCAGCAGCCGCGGUAAUACGGAGGGUGCGAGCGUUAAUCGGAAUUACUGGGCGUAAAGCGCGCGUAGGCGGUCUGAUAAGCCGGUUGUGAAAGCCCCGGGCUCAACCUGGGAACGGCAUCCGGAACUGUCAGGCUAGAGUGCAGGAGAGGAAGGUAGAAUUCCCGGUGUAGCGGUGAAAUGCGUAGAGAUCGGGAGGAAUACCAGUGGCGAAGGCGGCCUUCUGGACUGACACUGACGCUGAGGUGCGAAAGCGUGGGUAGCAAACAGGAUUAGAUACCCUUGUAGC